rnacentral:lncRNA from 1 species
GUUAAAAUGACAAGGAGAAACACAAGGAAGCAUGUCCUCUUUCUUUCCAGGGAUAGGUUUGAGGCAAAAACAUUAGGAAUUAGCAAACAAUAGUGACUGUUGGAUCAGUCGAAGAUCAAAUGAAAGCUGUACUAGACUGUCUGGUCACUGAGGAUAAAAUACCCACAGAUGUCAGCACUACUUUGAAGCUCUUCAUAAACAACCUUGAUGAGUGCUCAAGGAGCAGCAUAAAGCGAUGCAAAGAGUGCAGUCUGGAGGAGGCAGGCUAGCUGCUGAGGAAGAUCCCAGAGAAGCAGCCCCAGUGUUUGGAGGAGAAGCACUACUGAUCAGGCUCCUCGUCGCCAUACAGAUGUAGAUGUUUAACAUCUCCAUUGCAAAUUAGACCAGAUGUUUCAACAUCUGGCGAAAGUCAACCACUUGCGGGUUUUUAGAGAGAUCCAACCCUGUUUGUUCACUAUAGUGGAAAAUGAUCAGGUGUGUGCAGUCAACACCUACAGGCCCUGGUGCGGGGCUCUGGGCUGAGGGUGGUUGCGCUGCAGUUUACCCAGGCUGUGGCUAUGCUGUCCCUGACCCUUCUCAGCUCCCACUGCUGGACCAUGAGGAACGCUGCCCUACUGCGCUCUGUGCUCCAGGAUGCUGGGUCAGUGCUCUGGGGGUGAG